rnacentral:rRNA from 1 species
CGCCUGCCAGCCGCUCAGAACUUAAGGAAUGACGGGGCCGCACAAGCGGUGGAGUAUGUGGUUUAAUUCGAUGCAACGCGAAGAACCUUACCUGGUCUUGACAUCCCGGAGACCCUUAGGAAACUAGGGGUGCUUCCAUCUGGAAGAAUCUGGAGACAGGUGCUGCAUGGCUGUCGUCAGCUCGUGUCGUGAGAUGUUGGGUUAAGUCCCGCAACGAGCGCAACCCUUGCCUUUAGUUGCCAGCAGUUCGGCUGGGCACUCUAAAGGGACUGCCGGUGUUAAACCGGAGGAAGGUGGGGAUGACGUCAAGUCCUCAUGGCCUUUAUGACCAGGGCUACACACGUACUACAAUGGCCGAUACAAAGGGCAGCGACACUGCGAGGUGAAGCCAAUCCCGUAAAAUCGGUCUCAGUCCGGAUUGGAGUCUGCAACUCGACUCCAUGAAGUUGGAAUCGCUAGUAAUCGUGGAUCAGCAUGCCACGGUGAAUACGUUCCCGGGCCUU